CACAGUGCAGCAAUACAUGGGUGGCGACCGGCAAACGGGUGCGGAACACGUACGCAACCUUCCUUCAGGCGGGGAAUAGCCCAGAGAAAUUUGGAUUAAUACCCCAUAAUAUUUUGAGAUGGCAUCAUCUUAUUAUUAAAGCUACGGCACCUGGAGAUGGGCGUGCGGCUGAUUAGGUAGUUGGCGGGGUAAUGGCCCACCAAGCCUACGAUCAGUAGCUGAUGUGAGAGCAUGAUCAGCCACACGGGCACUGAGACACGGGCCCGACUCCUACGGGAGGCAGCAGUAAGGAAUAUUGGUCAAUGGACGCAAGUCUGAACCAGCCAUGCCGCGUGGAGGAUGAAGGUCCUCUGGAUUGUAAACUUCUUUUAUCUGGGACGAAAAAAGGGUUUUCUAACUCGUCUGACGGUACCAGAUGAAUAAGCACCGGCUAACUCCGUGCCAGCAGCCGCGGUAAUACGGAGGGUGCAAGCGUUAUCCGGAUUCACUGGGUUUAAAGGGUGCGUAGGCGGGCAUUUAAGUCAGUGGUGAAAUACCUGAGCUUAACUUGGGAACUGCCAUUGAUACUAUUUGUCUUGAAUGUCGUGGAGGUUAGCGGAAUAUGUCAUGUAGCGGUGAAAUGCUUAGAUAUGACAUAGAACACCUAUUGCGAAGGCAGCUAACUACGCGAAUAUUGACGCUGAGGCACGAAAGCGUGGGGAUCGAACAGGAUUAGAUACCCUGGUAGUCCACGCCCUAAACGAUGAUUACUCGACAUUAGCGAUACACUGUUAGUGUCUGAGCG
rnacentral:rRNA from 1 species